AUACAACCCUCUCAUAUAUCGAUG
rnacentral:siRNA from 1 species